AAUAUCAAAGGUGAGCCAGUACAGGAUGGACCCGCGUCUGAUUAGCUAGUUGGUAAGGUAACGGCUUACCAAGGCGACGAUCAGUAGCCGACCUGGGAGGGUGAUCGGCCACAUUGGAACUGAGACACGGUCCAAACUCCUACGGGAGGCAGCAGUGGGGAAUAUUGCACAAUGGGCGAAAGCCUGAUGCAGCAACGCCGCGGGAGUGAUGAAGGCCUUCGGGUCGUAAAACUCUGUCCUCAAGGAAGAUAAUGACGGUACUUGAGGAGGAAGCCCCGGCUAACUACGUGCCAGCAGCCGCGGUAAUACGUAGGGGGCUAGCGUUAUCCG
rnacentral:rRNA from 1 species